rnacentral:rRNA from 1 species
GAUGAACGCUGGCGGCGUGCCUAAUACAUGCAAGUCGAGCGAACAGACGAGGAGCUUGCUCCUUCGACGUUAGCGGCGGACGGGUGAGUAACACGUAGGUAACCUACCUAUAAGACUGGGAUAACUUCGGGAAACCGGAGCUAAUACCGGAUAAUAUUUCGAACCCCAUGGUUCGAUAGUGAAAGAUGGCUUUGCUAUCACUUAUAGAUGGACCUGCGCCGUAUUAGCUAGUUGGUAAGGUAACGGCUUACCAAGGCAACGAUACGUAGCCGACCUGAGAGGGUGAUCGGCCACACUGGAACUGAGACACGGUCCAGACUCCUACGGGAGGCAGCAGUAGGGAAUCUUCCGCAAUGGGCGAAAGCCUGACGGAGCAACGCCGCGUGAGUGAUGAAGGUCUUCGGAUCGUAAAACUCUGUUAUUAGGGAAGAACAAACGUGUAAGUAACUGUGCACGUCUUGACGGUACCUAAUCAGAAAGCCACGGCUAACUACGUG